UACGUAGGCAGCAAGCGUUGUUCGGAGUUACUGGGCGUAAAGGGUGCGUAGGCGGUUGUUUAAGGUUGGUGUGAAAUCUCCCGGCUCAACUGGGAGGGUGCGCCGAAUACUGAAUGACUCGAGUGCGGGAGAGGAGAGUGGAAUUCCUGGUGUAGCGGUGAAAUGCGUAGAUAUCAGGAGGAACACCGGUGGUGUAGACGGCUCUCUGGACCGUAACUGACGCUGAGGCACGAAAGCGUGGGUAGCAAACAGG
rnacentral:rRNA from 1 species